UGUCCCUGGCCCCCUGCAAUUUGAAUACCGCCACCUCCACAGCACAGAAAAGGAAGAGAAAAGCUCCACCAGUCACGUCGGUCACGCCACCCAUGGCACCGCUCUCAGAAGACCACCUGCUGUGCUCGCUGCGGGGAGCGUGAUCCG